CAGGAUGAACGCUAGCGGCAGGCUUAACACAUGCAAGUCGAGGGGCAGCAUGUCCAGCAAUGGAUGAUGGCGACCGGCGGAAGGGUGCGUAACGCGUGAGCAACAUGCCCUAUACAGGGAGAUACACCAGGGAAACUUGGUCUAAUAUCCCAUAGCAUUCAUUGAAGGCAUCUUUAAUGAAUUAAAGCUUCGGUGGUAUAGGAUUGGCUCGCGUGACAUUAGCCAGAUGGUGAGGUAACGGCUCACCAUAGCAAUGAUGUCUAGGGGUUUUGAGAGGAAGGCCCCCCACACUGGGACUGAGACACGGCCCAGACUCCUACGGGAGGCAGCAGUGAGGAAUAUUGGUCAAUGGACGCAAGUCUGAACCAGCCACGUCGCGUGAAGGAAGACGGCCCUACGGGUUGUAAACUUCUUUUGUAAGGGAAUAAAGUGAGUCACGUGUGGCUUUUUGCAUGUACCUUACGAAUAAGGAUCGGCUAACUCCGUGCCAGCAGCCGCGGUAAUACGGAGGAUCCGAGCGUUAUCCGGAUUUAUUGGGUUUAAAGGGUGCUCAGGCGGGCCAUUAAGUCGGCGGUGAAAUUUUGCGGCUCAACCGUAAAAGUGCCUUCGAUACUGGUGGUCUUGAGUGUGGAUGAGGUAGGCGGAAUUUGUGGUGUAGCGGUGAAAUGCAUAGAUAUCACGAGGAACUCCGAUUGCUAAGGCAGCUUACUAAGCCAUAACUGACGCUCAAGCACGAAGGCGUGGGGAUCAAACGGGAUUAGAUACCCUGGUAGUCCACGCAGUAAACGAUGAUUACUGGCUGUUUGCGAUAUAUUGUAAGCGGCUGAGCGAAAGCGUUAAGUAAUCCACCUGGGGAGUACGUUCGCAAGAAUGAAACUCAAAGGAAUUGACGGGGGCCCGCACAAGCGGAGGAACAUGUGGUUUAAUUCGAUGAUACGCGAGGAACCUUACCCGGGCUUGAAAUGCAGAUGACAGGCGGCGAGAACCGUUUUUCCUUCGGGACAUCUGUGUAGGUGCUGCAUGGUUGUCGUCAGCUCGUGCCGUGAGGUGUCGGCUUAAGUGCCAUAACGAGCGCAACCCUCAUCGUUAGUUGCCAUCAGGUCAAGCUGGGGACUCUAACGGGACUGCCAUCGUAAGAUGUGAGGAAGGUGGGGAGGACGUCAAAUCAGCACGGCCCUUACGUCCGGGGCGACACACGUGUUACAAUGGGUGGUACAAAGGGCAGCUACCGGGCGACCGGAUGCCAAUCUCUAAAACCACUCUCAGUUCGGGUCGGAGUCUGCAACUCGACUCCGUGAAGCUGGAUUCGCUAGUAAUCGCGCAUCA
rnacentral:rRNA from 1 species